ACCUGAGGGGCUCAGUGGUUGAGCGCCUGCCUUUGACUCAGGGCAUAAUGUCAGGGUCGUGGGAUCAAGUCCCACAUCGGGCU
rnacentral:tRNA from 1 species